GAUGAACGCUGGCGGCGUGCCUAAUACAUGCAAGUCGAGCGAACAGACGAGUAGCUUGCUCCUCUGACGUUAGCGGCGGACGGGUGAGUAACACGUGGAUAACCUACCUAUAAGACUGGGAUAACUUCGGGAAACCGGAUCUAAUACCGGAUAAUAUUUUUAACCGCAUGGUUCAAUAGUGAAAGACGGUUUUGCUGUCACUUAUCGAUGGAUCCGCGCUGCAUUAGCUAGUUGGUAAGGUAACGGCUUACCAAGGCAACGAUGCGUAGCCGACCUGAGAGGGGGGUCGGCCACACUGGAAGGGGGACAGGGUCCAGGGUCCUGCGGGAGGGAGCAGUAGGGAAUGUUCGGCAAUGGGCGAGAGCCUGACGGAGCGACGCCGCGUGAGUGAUGAAGGUCUUCGGAUCGGAAAACUCUGUUAUUAGGGAAGAACAAAUGUGGAAGUAACUGUGCACGUCGUGACGGUACCUAAUCAGAAAGCCACGGCUAACUACGUG
rnacentral:rRNA from 1 species